UACGUAGGGUCCGAGCGUUGUCCGGAAUUACUGGGCGUAAAGAGCUCGUAGGUGGUUUGUCGCGUUGUCCGUGAAAACUCACAGCUCAACUGUGGGCGUGCGGGCGAUACGGGCAGACUGGAGUACUGCAGGGGAGACUGGAAUUCCUGGUGUAGCGGUGGAAAUGCGCAGAUAUCAGGAGGAACACCCGGUGUCGGAAGGCAGGGUCUCUGGGCAGUUAACUGACGCUGGAGGAGCGAAAGCAUGGGGAGCGAACAGG
rnacentral:rRNA from 1 species